rnacentral:rRNA from 1 species
GACGAACGCUGGCGGCGCGCCUAACACAUGCAAGUCGAACGAGCGAGCGAGAGCUUGCUUUCUCAAGCGAGUGGCGAACGGGUGAGUAACGCGUGAGGAACCUGCCUCAAAGAGGGGGACAACAGUUGGAAACGACUGCUAAUACCGCAUAAGCCCACAGGUCGGCAUCGACCAGAGGGAAAAGGAGCAAUCCGCUUUGAGAUGGCCUCGCGUCCGAUUAGCUAGUUGGUGAGGUAACGGCCCACCAAGGCAACGAUCGGUAGCCGGACUGAGAGGUUGAACGGCCACAUUGGGACUGAGACACGGCCCAGACUCCUACGGGAGGCAGCAGUGGGGAAUAUUGCACAAUGGGGGAAACCCUGAUGCUGCGACGCCGCGUGGAGGAAGAAGGUCUUCGGAUUGUAAACUCCUGUUGUCGAGGAAGAUAAUGACGGUACUCAACAAGGAAGUGACGGCUAACUACGUG